rnacentral:rRNA from 1 species
UACGUAGGGUGCAAGCGUUCAUCGGGAUUACUGGGCGUAAAGCGUGCGCAGGCGGUUGUGCAAGACCGAUGUGAAAUCCCCGGGCUUAACCUGGGAAUGGCAUUGGUGACUGCACGGCUAGAGUGUGUCAGAGGGGGGUAGAAUUCCACGUGUAGCAGUGAAAUGCGUAGAGAUGUGGAGGAAUACCGAUGGCGAAGGCAGCCCCCUGGGAUAACACUGACGCUCAUGCACGAAAGCGUGGGAAGCAAACAGG